rnacentral:rRNA from 1 species
AUCUAUAGCCAUACCACCAUGAAUGUGCCUGAUCUCAUGUGAUCUUGGAAGCUAAGCAGGGUUGGCCCUGGUUACUACUUGGAUGGGAGACUAGUCGUAAAGAGUUGAUCCUGCCUGCUGCUAAGGAUG